UACGAAGGGGGCUAGCGUUGUUCGGAGUUACUGGGCGUAAAGGGCGCGUAGGCGGCGCACCAAGUCAGGCGUGAAAGCCCUGGGCUCAACCUCGGAAUUGCCUUCGAUACUGGACAUCUUGAGUACGGGAGAGGUGAGUGGAACUCCGAGUGUAGAGGUGAAAUUCGUAGAUAUUCGGAGGAACACCGGUGGCGAAGGCGGGUCUCUGGGCAUCUCCUGACGCUGAGGCGCGAAAGCGUGGGGAGCAAACGGG
rnacentral:rRNA from 1 species